UCUGGGAAAAUCGAUGCAAUGCCUAGAGCUUCCAGGAUCCCGGGGCAGAGCUGGGCCCAAACCUAACUUGCUGGAGGGGGCCCGGGAUGCCUCACUGUGGUGGCCAAAGUGUCUGAAGCGCUUCUUAGCAAACUUGCAGCCAGAAGGCUGUAGUCUGUCCGAAGCAGGUUUUGAUCAUCAUGGGGUAAAGGAGGAGGGAGGGUCAUGCUUGAUUCUACAUGGCUUCAUGCCUUCCAGAGGUCACCCUGUGCUUGUGUGUGUGUGUGGGGGGGUGUCUUAUCUUCGCGGUGUGGAACGGAGUAUCGGGAAGCAGGCAGUGCAGUCUAGAGUCUGAAUCAGAGAUGAGUAAGCUGGCCACUUAUUAAGAUUCAAAGCCUUUGCUAUUGGGAAAGACAGGAGCACCGUGGUACCUUGUAAGUGGGAUCGAGCCAAGAAGGGCAAGCAAACAAAAUGAGAUGUUUAAAAUACUGGCUUCAAAGCUGCUGGGAAAAAUGUUCUUUUCCACACAAAGAGAGUGGGGACUUUGAAUGCCUGAAAAGCCAUUCUGCAGCAAGAAUUUCACCCUUUCUUUUUGCACCAAAAAAAAAAAAAAAAAAAUUCUCUCUUUCUGAUGAAUGGAGACUUCCCACCCAUAUGCAGGGGACUAUGGGAGGAACUGAGUUAGAAAUUAUAUUUGUAAAGAUUAUUUUAAAAAGGUAACCAUUGUAUCUGAGAAUAGAGUAUGAAAAAUUAAAAUGUCCAGAAUUAAUUGAAGCUAGAGGUUAGCAUUUUGACAUAGCCAGCUUCCUCAGUCUUAGCAAACAGUGCAGCAAAAUUUAAAACGAUGUUGAAGUGUGCACUCUUGCUUUGAGCACCUCCCACACAAAAGACUCUUAAAGGGCAGUGCUCCCCUGGAGUAUAGAGUCCAAAGUAAACAAUGGCCAGGUGACACAGACCAGAGUGCCGUCAGGAUGCAACUACGGGGUUCUCAUUGUCAAAGCAGUUGAGUGAGGGCCUUUGAACCCUGGGAAAUACUAAGGAGCAUCUGAGAAUACUCUGGGUGAUAGAAUGAACAAUCUGUCUUCCUCUCAGGGGACAUACUAUGGCAGGGGAGAUAGGCUUUUAUAGGCGGGUGUGCGGUCCUGAAGGAUGAACCUGAUCUGGAUGGAGAUAGCCUUCUAGAAAGGGAGGGAAGACUGAGAUGUGGGCAGCAGUAAGAAGUUUUGUCUUCAUGGAGUACAACGUGGGCAGAUAGUCCGAAUGGAGACAUCUGAAGUUGUCUCCUCAGAUCUGCCAAAUUUACCCGGUUGUCUUUGGUUUUGGGGAUAGCAUAGAGCUUCCUCUCUCAGAAUAUUUAUCACUCCAAAGCAGUGAUUCAUUUCCUCCAUCCAUCUCUCCCUUCUCUUCCUUCCUUCCUUCCUUCCUUCCUUCCUUCCUUCCUUCCUUCCAUAAGCUUUGGCCCAUUUUACUAAAGACAAACAGCAUGAUUUACUUUUAAACAGCCCAUUACAGCACAAUUCUGAAGAUCACAGACUCAUCUGGAUCAAUGAUAGCUAGCGUGCAUUAUUUAUUAUCUGCAUGGCAUACCCAAGUCAACAUUAUUGCCACUGUCGUGUUGGACAGCAGCCUUGGCCAGUGUGGUACAGGGCUCUAUGUCAGACUUCCUCGAGUUGCUGGCAAGGAUGACCGGUCUGACUUUGCUUUGUCAGCCAUCUUCACAGUAGGCUUGUACCCCAGCACAUACUUCCUCCUUUUCAUGACCAGUAGGACCUAGAGUUGAUGGAAUCCAACAACUUUUUCAUCUUUCCUGCGGCCACCAUAUUCCUCCCUCAGAUGCAGGAUGGCCCCCAACCAAGAAGAGCCCCCAAAAUGGCCAGGGAACGAAAAAGCCAAGCGACGGUUAUGAAUCAUUUCAGACUAUUGGGUUUUCGAGAAUUUGUGUAGACCAUCUCCCCAGAUGUGUAUAUAUACACUAACGUUGCUGACCAUCCAGGUAAUUUAUGAGCUACUUGGAUCCAAGUUAAGGAUCCUUGCUCUAUCAAUGAAUUCAGUUAUUUUUGUCAUUCAACAACUAUUUUUGGUGUGGGUCGGCUUACAGCGUAAGCAGGAUUUCCUUGUUGAGGCCUCGGAAACGUGUGCUGUGUCUUUUACGAAAACGCUUAGGGCUACUGACCCUGACAUUCAUAUGAGUCACUCAUUCAGACAGGAGGAUGAUUUGGUGGCCCAACUUACUGGGGUGUGUUUUUUGAUACUUGAACGUUUUUCCAAAUCUAUGCCUACUAAAUAAGCCGAAGGGAACUCAGGGUGGGAGGGAGGUUGAGGGAUGGCCACCAGGGCUGCAGAACUCCUGAGAGCCUUCUUUAAAAAUUUGUCCUAAUUUUGGGAGAUUCAUGGCAAGCUCUUUCCUGUUAUUUUUUUCUUUCAAGCUCAGAAUUUGCAGCCGUAUUAUACACACAACCUGCUCAGGAUUCCAGGUGAAAGUAACCAUUAACUCGCAUGCACACACACACACACACACACACAUGCACACACGUUUUUUCCUGUAAUUAGAUGCAGCCCCUUAGUGAGAUGUAGUGGCGUGCAAAUUGGAGUUCCAGCCUCCUUUUCGGAGAUUCCCUAGCAUCAAAGAGGCUAUUCGGGUAAUAAAGAUAAGUAUGACAAUAAUUACGGGCGGCCGCUAAUGUUUACUUGAGUACCAGGAAUGGUACAAAGUAUUUUACAGCCGUUACCUCGCAAGAGACUUCAAAGUCAGCUCUGUUGGUAUUUCCCUUUUGUUACAGAUGAGGAAAUUAGGACGCAGAGAUUAACCUGCCUAAGUAAGGUGCUGGUGAGUCGUGGCACAAGGGCUUCUGUGUCGCAUUGUCAGCCUCCGCUCUCAGCCAGCUGCCUGGAAGCCAGAAGAAUUCUGGCUUGCUGUACACAGCAGCAGCUUUCCCAGAGGUCUCCCGAAUCCACAAGGAAGUAACUGGACUUCUAUCAGACAGGACGCACUGUAGAUAAUCAGCCUAGAAGAGAAGGAGCCUUGCUGUGGGCUUCCGGCCACACUCCGGGCUGCUUCCUGCUCUCAGCUCACCUGGUCCUUGCCAGACGCCCGCCUGCAGGCCUGAGCACAGCCACCCCACAGUCCCCAAGGCUUGGCUAACCCGUGAUUCCUGCUGGGGACACCUCCCUGCUGCUCUGGCCCACCCAGUGGUGGCACAUCUGGUCCCUCUUGUCUGUCUCAGCUCAGUCCACGGUUCUAACUCCAGACCCCUCCUGCUUUGCUCUUUGUUAUUUAAAUACCUAGAGCAUAAGCCAGUGGAGGUUGGACGCACGAAGGCAGAGAGCUAUGCAUUUCUCUGGCAUUUGCGUGUUUGAGUCAUCACAUUCGUUUGUGAGCCCCUCGAUGGCAGGGACCAUGUCUUCGAUCCGGCGCUUCUCAAACUGUAAUAAACCUGCAGGCCUCCUGGGGAUCUUAUUAAAACACAGUUGUUUAGGUUGAACAAAACUGGGGAGGAGCCCAGGACUCUGCAGUUUUACUAGCUCGUAGGUGAUGCCGGUGCUGAUGGUCCAGCGGUCAUGCUUUAAGCAACACGGCUUUACCUGUCUAUCGUUUGAUAUCGAAGUGGUGCAUUUUCUUAUGCCUUCCUAGGAGACUAGAUGCUUCUUGCGAGCCAGACUAUUUCCUUUUGCUUCUUUGUGCCCCCGCCGCAAAGUGCAUGUGCUCAGUACGUAUUUGUUGCACGAAUAAAUGGAUGUACGAAUGCGUCAUUCUCUGUGCCAUGACAGCGCUUCGCGUGAGCUGAACAUCAGGAAUGAGUGAAUGAAUGAACAUGUGCAUCCUUGAUUCGAAUCAGCAGACAGCGGAGUGAUAAAUCUGAAGCCAUUGCUUAAUUUCCCUAGAGUUGGGGCAGAAGGAGGGGAGGAAGUGAAAGAGAAGAAGCCGUCUGACAGCUUAGGCUGAGGCCUCACAUAAAGCUGUCAAGUUAACACUGGAAACACGGCAGGGCCAUCCUGCUUGCUCCCAAGGGCAGAACGCUUGAGCUUAGUGUCGUAGCAAAGGAUUAUGAAAGCUAUAAGCAACUUCUGGGACUUCUACACAAGGCCUGUUUUCAAUAUGUGUUCCUCUUUUUCUGUGCUCCACUCUCCAUAUUUUUUUAAAUGAACCCAUGCAGGGACACACACGCACACCCCCCCCCCCCCACCCCUCCUCAGAUGGAAAAGCCAUAGGGUUGAGUUCUUAUUCGCCUUUGAGCACUCAAUUGCUGGAGCCAAGGGAAAUUUGGGGCAGCUUUUCAGAUUGUGCUAGAAAUGAUGUAACGCCUGAAGGAAUCCCCAGAGAAAGGUAGGCAGCUCAGAGGGGAGUGAUCUUUCGGCCACUCCUGGUUUGCUAGGAGCAAAAAUACAGUGUUCUUUCUUGGUCUCAUCUUUCUGGCAUUGCCUUCAUUAAGCUUUAGCUUUAGCUUCCAGACUGAAAAACCGAGGAAAGAAAUUGGAGCAAAGAAGGAGAAAGUCUUGCUCACUUGUUUCUCAGAUGCUUGCGUUGUCCUUUUUCCCGGUCACUCCGAUGAACACAGCCUUGAUUGUGUGGCACAAGUUUAUAGAACUUCACCCUCUGGCCAGCAGAGUUGGCUCAGAUUAAAGAUACUGACAGUGUUUGUUGAGCAUCUAUUAUGGGCCCAAGUGCAUACACCAAGUGUCACUUGCACUGCAUUGAAUCCUCGCCCAGAAAGAAAUACUGUUAUAUCCCUUUUAUAGAUGAGGGCACAGGUUCAGACGGGUUAAGUAACUCACCCAAGGUCACAGUGAGAUGUGGCUCUGCAGCUGAGUUCACACUGCCUGUCAAUUAGGGCAUGACUUCGAUCUUCUCAUUUCGAAUCACUGUGCAUUCGAAAGGCCGUCACAUUGGUCUGCCUUUCAAUCUUUGGAUUCAAGCCAGGCAUAGAAAGUUUCAGCCUAGAAGCAUUUUGGGGCCAGGGUAAAAGCCAUGAAGAAAUAAGAGUUUAAAGAGAGCUAUCUUAGACCAUUUGCUUUUCAUCCUUAAUAAUUUCAGCAAAUACAACACGCAUCCAGAACACAAGAAGCAACAUUUGCAUUAGUAAUUCAGAAAUAUGCACGAUUAAAGAUGAAAUCACUAUUCCCUAAUGUAGUCUGGUAAGGCUCAUCUUAAAAUAAAGCCAGUGAUUGAAUGCCAGAUACUUAAAUACCUGUGAGACUUCACAGCCAGGUCCUCAAUCUUUUUGUAUUUUAGUGGCUUACAUAUCCAAAUUUUCUAACAGUGAAUUCCAAAGGAGUGCUCACAUUUAUUAAUUUCUCUGGAAUUUCAAGGUGUUUAACAAUUGUACCGUACCUGGGAGGCUGGGAAUGAUGAAUUAAGAAGGUAUUUCUUAUUUGUGACCUGGUUUAAAUAGAGAGUUCAUUAAGCAGGGAUCUUGUUACAAUCUCUUGUCUGUAAAUUCUGUUACAGAGCUCUCAUAUAAAUAGCAGCAUUUUCACACAUCUGUGGCAUAGUGAUAACUGACAUGCUCUGUGGUGAUGUUUACAGCCCCGUUAAGAUCCUAAAAGUGCCUCUAAAUCAUCAAAGGAAAAUUAAAUUAUGUUGAGCAUAGUUUUAUUAUUCAGGGCAUCUUAUGAAAUUCAGACUCCAGAAAGGACGACACAUGUAGAGGUUAUGCAUUAAACUCAGUGAGCAUGCCACUCUCCGGAAGCCCCCACCACUCCCUGCCUGGUCCCCCUUCUCUGAUCAUGACAGACAACAGCUCUUUGAGUCCCCUCGCAUUCCAAAAAAACCUUCCAGAGAAUUCAGGGGAAAACUGAUUAUGUUCCCAACCAGUGAUCAUUUCUAGGUUGAGAUUUUCAUCUUUUUCCUAUACGCUGCGGAUUCAUCGGAAUAAAAUCGAGGGUCCCUUCGACUGGAUGUUGAUGGGCCUCGCACAGAGGCGAGUGUUGCAUUGUUAACGUGCAACAUCAGAAUAGUAAUCGGGACGGCAGAUUUUCCAGACGCGUUGUACACAAAUGCUGUGCUCACGCCCUAGAGAACGACACUCAGACCACGGAUAUUGAGAGAGCAGAGGAGUCACCUUGAGAAAAAUAUGAAAUGCUUAAGUGACUGUAAAUUAGCUCCAUGGCAAACAAGGCAGGAGAAUAUGAAAAUCUGCCUUGGGUGGGUCACAAGUGACAUCCGACUCUGCCCCAGCUUCACGCAUCUGCCUUGUUGAUGUUGACUCCAGUUGGACUUGUCCUUUCCUUUCCAUGACGACAGAUAAGAGUUUUCUUCCUUUCUUCUUCCUCUGCGCCUCUCCCCACGCCCCCUACGACUACAGACCUUACACAGCCUCUCCCAGGCCACUCUUGUCUGGUCGUCCCGGGUCCUGGACCGUUAAGAGAUGAUGGCAGAGGGGCUGGGAGGGCACCCGCGUACUGCCACCCUCUAUCCCAGCCCCACCUUGCAGGCCCUGAGCCCCUCAGGUGUGAUAAGGCACGUGCGAUGCCUGCCUGGUGCCCAGCACCCAGUUGGCGCCCAGUGAAUGCUGUUGAAUGAAUGAAUGAGAGCAAAUGAACUCAGCAAAUUGUGGUUCCCUUUCUCCCUUCGCUUCUGCUUCCUUUCUUCAGUGCCUUUUGGCAGUUGGCCAAUUGGGACAAAAAGGAACAGGAACAUUCUCUCCUUGCUGAUUAUGGGACACAAGGGCCACUCCCCGUCAGUCCCCCGCCUCCCCUUUCCCCAUUCUCGCUGGGCACUGUGCUGCUCAGGUGAGGAUAAGGGCAGGAGAGGGAUGACAGAAGAACCAUGCAAAGUCCCUGGGCUGCAUUAUCUUCCGCAGUCUGUUCCCUUGUUAUUCCCCCCGGCCCCCCACCCCUUCUCCCCUACUCCUGCCCUCCCCACCCCACCCCUGAAUGUCAACACCUGUCCCCGCUUCCCUUCCCCGGAAUACACCAGCCCUGUUGCCCCUUCCCCACCCCUGGACAAGCCCCCUGACCACCCAGUGUCCCUGGAGUGGGAAGCAGAGACUACAUUAAAAGCCUGAUGAAAUACAAGGCAGGAAGCAUUUUAGAGACUCCAUCAGGGGUCAGGUUUUAAAAGCUCUCGAAAUCAGGUCUGACAAUCCCCAGAAAAGAGAGAAUGAUACAGAUUUCUAAGAAACCAAGCUGGGAGACAGGCCAAAGCUGUGUUUUUCUGCCUUGGGGGUAGAUAUUCUCCCACGUGUUCCCAACCCAUGCCCAGGUCUGGGUCUCGUGCGCUGGCCCCCCUAAGCGGGUUAUGGGAAGUGGGGUGGGGCGGGAGGCUAAUAGGGCUGGGUGGUCACAGCUCCCUGCAGUGGGGCUCUCUCCAAGGCUGUGAUUUUCACAUCAGGCACUGGACGGACAGCAAGCCAGAAAGAACACUCGAGCUGUCUCUGCCAGCGACUAGAUGUAGGAAGCAAACACAUCACAGCAUAGCAAAAUCGGCCUGUGCUGUCAGCCAGGGCGGCCAUUCAUUCCAUGCACGUGCACACAGCUGGGCCGGUCAAUGGGGAACCAGUUCUGUGUU